GAUGAACGCUGGCGGCGUGCCUAAUACAUGCAAGUAGAACGCUGAAGCUUGGUGCUUGCACCGAGCGGAUGAGAUGCGAACGGGUGAGUAACGCGUAGGUAACCUGCCCCUUAGCGGGGGACAACUAUUGGAAACGAUAGCUAAUACCGCAUAAAAGUCGAUAUCGCAUGAUAUUGAACUGAAAGGUGCAAUUGCAUCACUAAGAGAUGGACCUGCGUUGUAUUAGCUAGUUGGUGAGGUAACGGCUCACCAAGGCAACGAUACAUAGCCGUCCUGCGAGGGUGGUCUGCCCCACUGGGACUGGGACCCGGCCCAGACUCCUACGGGAGGGAGCAGUCGGGGAUCUUCGGCGAUGGGGGCAACCCUGACCGGGCGACGCCGCGUGAGUGAAGAAGGUUUUCGGGUCGUAAAGCUCUGUUGUAAGAGAAGAGCGAGUGUGAGAGUGGAAAGUUCACACUGUGACGGUAACUUACCAGAAAGCGACGGCUAACUACGUG
rnacentral:rRNA from 1 species